rnacentral:rRNA from 1 species
AUACGGAGGAUCCGAGCGUUAUCCGGAUUUAUUGGGUUUAAAGGGUGCGCAGGCGGGAGAUUAAGUCGGCGGUGAAAUUUUGCAGCUCAACUGUAAAAGUGCCUUCGAAACUGGGUUCCUUGAGUGUAGAUGAAGUAGGCGGAAUUUGUGGGGUAGCGGUGAAAUGCAUAGAUAUCACGAGGAACUCCGAUUGCGCAGGCAGCUUACUAAACUACUACUGACGCUCAGGCACGAAGGCGUGGGGAUCAAACAGGAUUAGAUACCCUGGUAGUCCACGCAGUAAACGAUGAUUACUAGCUGUUUGCGAUACAAUGUAAGCGGCUGAGCGAAAGCGUUAAGUAAUCCACCUGGGGAGUACGUUCGCAAGAAUGAAACUCAAAGGAAUUGACGGGG